CAAACUAUCAGGGAGUUAUUAGCACAUAGCUUCAUGCUGCAGCAUAAAUGUUGAGUGAAGCCACUUUGAAUCACACUCGUGGCAUUGAGAGAAGCAGCCCCUCCCCUCUGCUCUCGGUUUUUGUUAUUACAAGUUCACAUGACAUGCCUCCCUGUUUCCUUCUAUCCUUCUAGCCAAUGGCGGGGGAGGGAGAGAGAGCUUCCUAAAGAGCUACAUCUACAUUUCAAAGACAGUAUCCCUCUUAUCAUGCUAAUGAUUCUACGUCAGUGACUCUCCCUAUUUGCUCUGGAGUUUUCAGGGGGAAAGUAGCUUAAAACCAGCAUUUUAAAAACCCAGAAAUACCUCGAGAUAAGCUAGAAUUCGCAAGACAAAGCCCGAUUUGUGUGUGGAGUGGGUUCAAGGAUCUCGAAGGGACUUCGGGGUGUGACAUCUUCCAGUUGACUCGUAUGCCAAGAUCAUUCAGAAGAGUUAUCACAUAAUGGAUCUGUGAAAGUAACUUGACCUGCAAGAAGCCAGUCGUCCAAGAUAGAAACACCACUAUCCCUCAUGUCCUUAGGUGUCAAGAAUGUGGAGUCCUGCAGCAGGGUAUCCCACAGAUGAUGAUUAUAUCUUGCCACUUAGGCUGCAUAGUUUGCAAUCCUUAUGGUCAAACUGGAAAUGGGGUAUAUCUUUCUACCCAAGACACCCAUUUUCCUUCCCUCUUUAUCUGAUGUGUCUCCAUCUGAACUUUGAUGAUCGUGCACAACCACCAAAGUGUUUGGAACCGGAUGUUUCAGGAGGUAUGAAUUGUUUCUUGAAUUCUGUAAAGGCCUUCCAGGCGUUUCAAGAACCAAUCUGAUACUGAGAAGCCUAGCAACGAGGUGCUGAUGCUUUGGCAAUCAGAAAGGAACUGAGAAAAUGACACCCCUAACUACCAAUAUCAGUGGAAGCACUGAGCACAUGCAGGGCAUAGUGGGUGCUGCGAGGAGCUAGCUAAUCCAUCUGUGAGGUCCCUGCAGAGGCACAGAAUCCAUUGCGUAUUAGUGCCAACAGAUCAUGAUCCAGAUCUGAAAGUUUACACAGUUAAAAGCAGAAGUAUAAGUUAAAAAUAAAAUAAAAUGUAAACUACUCCAUGAAGAAACAUGUUUCUUAAUGCAUUCUCUCUCUCUCACUCUCAAAUUAGAUCUGACUUCUCUUUGCCAAACUGCUGGUGUAGCAGCCAAAUCCUCCUGUUUAGUUUUCUCUUUACAAUUAGUACAUUUUAGCCAUAUGCAAACUGAAAUGUCAUAUGCCUGAAAUGUUCAUGACAUCUUCUCCAAGCCACUAUUUACUUCAAUACUUGCACAAUUAAAAUAUCCCAACUCAUAAAACUCUGUUGUGUAGGUACCACAUGACUCCCCUUAUGACCAUUAUGGUUAAAAUUUGAUCUUGCAAUAUUAGCAACGAUAUAAAACCAAAAGUAAAGGUUCAUAGGUGCCCACCAGAAUUUUCAGAUGUCCCUUAUUCUAGUAGGCACAUCAUAAUUCCAUAGACCAUCAAAGGUGUUCCUUAUUCUAAAACAUCUCAAGCCACUUUUUUUUUUAAAAAAAGUUGGCUAUAUCUAGCAGCCAUCCUUUGUCCUCCCUGUUUGUUUUUUAAAAACUGCUUUCAAGGAGUCAGAGAUUUCUGUCUUUUGGCUGAAUGAAUAUGGAAGCUGAGAAAACAUGCAAUCAACAUCCACCAACCUUCAAACUACAUAACUGAUUUAUCCAGAAAAUUCUAAGUGUGCCUGAAUGGUGCAAGACCAUGUAGACUUGCUACUUCCCAGGACACUUCUGUGCUCAUGUAAUGAUUAAAGACUGGUAAAUUGAUAGAAUAUUUAUCUUCUUUUUCAGGCAUGCAUAUGAAUCAAGCUAGGAUUCUAAUUUGUUAUUGUAAUUGUAAUUGUUUGUUAUUGUCAUUGUGUGUAUAGAAAUCUGGGAAGGUAAAAAGCAUGGAUUGAGGAGAUUGUUGUCUUCUUGUA